UACGGAGGGUGCGAGCGUUAAUCGGAAUUACUGGGCGUAAAGCGCGCGUAGGCGGCUUGUCAAGUCCGACGUGAAAGCCCCGGGCUCAACCUGGGAACGGCGUUGGAGACUGGCAGGCUCGAGUGCGGGAGAGGGGUGUGGAAUUUCCGGUGUAGCAGUGAAAUGCGUAGAGAUCGGAAGGAACACCAGUGGCGAAGGCGACACCCUGGACCGACACUGACGCUGAGGCGCGAAAGCGUGGGGAG
rnacentral:rRNA from 1 species